GUCAUUGAUCCUGCUCAAGCCAUUACCACUACCAAGGGCAAUAUCGCCCCCAGCUGAUUAUACGUCAAUAACUUACUACUCAUUUAUUUUAGCCAUUCAUGUGAUGACCAAAUACCAUCACGAAUACAUAAACCAGAGCAUAAACCACUCCCAAAUUCCUUUCUCACUCCUAUGGGGAAGUCUGAAUUCAUCACCAGGAAAGGCCCAUUGUUGUAAACCAAUUCAGAGAAUAAAUAAACCACUUUUUAGAUAUCCUCUGGGUGCAACAAAAUCUCCAUUAUAACCUGAUGGAUUUAACUUAUUUUUCAGAGUAUACAACCUGUAGAUUAUGGUUAAAAUGCAUAAGGGGAACUCUCCAUGUUUUAAAUACGUGUGCGUGUUUAAUUUGAAGGCAGCAAUCUGCUCGGGUAUAAGCAAAGCAUGCUAUCCCUGACAUCUUACAUUUCAAUUUUUUUACACCCAAACAACAAAAUAUUUAAACAGUUAACAUCUGCUCAAAGACCUAAGAGAUGGAAGACUUCAGAACGCAUAGGCAGUGUGUUGACUAUGGAUAAAGUCAACUUACACAGGGGCCAGAUUUUUGAAAACCUGACCUAUUGUGUCAGGAAAGAAGAGCCAAAUUCCAGAGAAUGUAUGGAGGGAAAAUUGGAACUGUAAACAGUCUGAGAAAAUUUAAACCAACAGAUGGCAACAGAAAAAUAAAGACAAGGAAAAUUUUAAAAUUAACAAUAAAUCUCACAUGUCCUUUAAAAAAAGAUACCCCAAAGACAUGUUCAUAAUAAUUAAUCAUCAUAAAUUUUACUGAUUCUUUAAAAUAUUAAAAUGGGGUGAGUAUAAAAAACAGUAGAAAGUCGUAGAAAAAAUAAAAAUGAUAGGAUUUAGGUAAAAGCAUUUAACUAAAAUCGUCUUCUGUGCUCACAGAGCCAUGAGGCCCUUCAGCAAAGGGAACACAAAAGUGAGCCUCCAGGACUAAGCAGAUACACAGAAACUGGGUCACUACCCACUGCGGAGGAUGUCACCCCUUCCGUGACCACCAGUUCAC
rnacentral:lncRNA from 1 species